GAGAUUCUUCAAAGUAUGUGUUAUUUCAUAGUUUUGAUGUCUUCACUAUUAUUCUACAAUGUAGAAAAUAGUAAAAAAUAAAGAAAAACCCUGGAAUGAGUAAGUGUGUCCAAACUUUUGACUGGUUCUGUAUGUGUCAGAUGUUUUUAGUUUAAGGAUAAACCAAUACCAACCAGUUAAGGAGAUCUUCACUUCCCAAAACUAGUUUCACACAAGUCUGGGUCUAUUUUUGGAUUAUGAAUACAAGGAACCAUAUACUACUCUACUCUCAUUUGAAUAUUGCACUUGAAAAAUAAAUGACUUGAAAACAGCCUCUUGUCUUGUACAUCUAUGAUAUUGCAACUCUGUAGAUUACAGUGGACUCUAUAGAUUACAGUGGACUCUAUAGAUUACAGUGGACUCUAUAGAUUACAGUGGACUCUAUAGAUUACAGUGGACUCUAUAGAUUACAGUGGACUCCUGAAAAAGGCAAUGGCUUGGGACUGUUGUGCCAGAGUAUGUAGUUGUCAGGAGCAAGCUAUUGAAAAUCAUGUCAUUGAAAUGAGACUGGAAAACUGUAUUGUACUUAAAGAAUUCACAUUUAUUGAAAGAGCACUUAUCAAGAGUCGAAUGUACAUAAUAUAUUUCAAAGUGUAAAACUGAUUAGAUUAAAUGUUAAAUCAAAAACUAUUUCCAUCACCUCCCAAAAGAAAACAAAAAACACCUCUCACCUUUCUCAGCCAGGGUGCAGCAAAGGAGACAGAGGAAGAUUGCACAACACAGACAGAGUGCAGACAUCGUGCUAAAACAACAAGAGCUUCACAACUAACAAAUAGCAGGAAAUAGACAGUAUGUCUAUACCACAGUGAUGUCUGCUCUAGAACCACUCCACCAAUAGGAACACGAAGUAGGCCUACUUUACAGUUAGGUUCUGAACAAAUGAGGUAGGCAUAAUAAACCAAGACAUUACAAAAUAACAUAAAGAGAAUCAAGACCUGAACUUAUUUCAGUUGCAAUUGUGGGUGUCAGUAUGUGACAGAAUCAUAUGUUAGGGAAUCAUAGGUUAGGGAUAAAUGAGGUUUAACAACAAAACAUAAUUAUUUGAUUUGAACUUUUACUUCACUACAUUCCAAAACAAAAUAUGUACUUUUUACUCCAUACAUUUCCCCUGACACCUGUGGAGGAAAUGAAUAUUCAUGACAUACUAUACUGUUUAAUUAGACAUAGAAUGCUGUUUUCUACGUAAAGAUUGUCCAUUGUUAAAUGCUAGUAUUUUUUAUAACCUGAUACAAAGUUGCCUUUGUGUGACUUAGUCACAAGACUGGGUGAUUUCGUAAGAACCGUUUGGGUGUGACCGCAGCAUGUGACACAUCCCGUGGUUUUCUGCAGGAACUCAGCUGUAUGGGAAGUUGCAGGAAGGAGCACAUUAUAGUGUGAACUGUGACAAACGCAGUUACAUGGUUGAGCCCUUGUGCUAUCAACCUCCGGCUAUCUUAAUCUGCACUGACAAACCAAUCGCCUUUUAGACACUAUGCUCCGCCCAUUUCCACCCAUCUGCUAAACUGCCACAAAGACAGAGGUUGCAUUUUCUAUAAAAGCUGAGAGCCAACGCUAUUCGUUGGGCUUUCUGACUAUGCACUGUUGAGUGAUUGUCAUUUAUUGCUUCAUUUUUACAAAUCUUAUAAUAAAGUUAUUUGAUAGAAUCUGCAGUCUCUCUUCCUAUAGAAUGUCUACCACACACCCAAAAGUACUGGUUACAUUUCAAAUGCUUAGCAGGACAGGAAAGCUGCCCAAUUCAAACAAACAUCCCUGGUAAUCCUUACUGCCUCCGAUCUGGCGGACUCACCAAACACAAAUUAUUCAUUUGUAAAUUACGUCUGAGUGGUGGCUAUCCGUAAAUAAAUGUUUAAAAAAUAAAUAAAAAAUGGUGCAGUCUGGUUUGCUGUAUAUUUUAGCAAUUACAUUUACCUUCGAUAAUUAAGUAUAUUUAAAACCAAAUACUUUUAGACAAGUAGUAUUUUACUGGGUGGCUUUCACCUUUACUUGAGUCAUUUUCUAUUAAGGUAUCUUUACUUUUACUCAAGUAUGACACUGGGUAUUUGUUCCACCACUGUUGGAUUCUGGGGUAAACUUUGAACAUUGUUAUACUCAGAAGUAUAGGAACAUUAGUUACAUAAGAGACAUGAAGCGUGCCAUAAUGAAGUUUGGGAGGGGCUGAGUGCAGGGAAAACAAUCGCAUGUGACAGUACUGAUAUCACUUAGUUCCCUGCUUAGCAAGAAUGACGCAAUGUUUAGCGAUAAGGUGGAGACUCCACCCAAAGUUGGGUAUGAAUACUACCACGGGGGAGGCCAUGUCUGUGUCUGAAUUACAGCUGUAUUGACCCUUUGGGAAGAAUUAAACUUGGUUAAGCUUCUCUAGUGUCUGAGUUAUUUACUCAAAAUUAGAACCUAACAUUACAUAACAUAUCCUCUAGUCCCAGACAUGAUAGAGGUGAAUGGUUCACUACAUAACAUAUCCUCUAGUCCCAGACAUGAGAGGUGAAUGGUUCACUACAUAACAUAUCCUCUAGUCCCAGACAUGAGAGGUGAAUGAUUCACUACAUAACAUAUCCUCUAGUCCCAGACAUGAGAGGUAAAUGAUUCACUACAUAACUUAUUCUCUAGUCCCAGAAAUGAGAGGUGAAUGGUUCACUACAUAACAUAUCCUCUAGUCCCAGACAUGAGAGGUGAAUGGUUCACUACAUAACAUAUUCUCUAGUCCCAGACAUGAGAGGUGAAUGAUUCAAGUAUUCUAUAUCAGCUAUGUUUUUUUUAAAAGGCAGUAAAUGAGGAUGGCAGUAAACUUAACCUGGGUAUGUGGUAAGCUGAUCCUCCAGACAGUGGAAGUUAAGCUUUCUACACAUUUCUGUACUGAAUGAAAUAUUAUCACUACCUUUAUAAAACAAUGUCUAUCUUUAUUUUCCAAACACAAUUCAACACAAUCACUUUGUCUUUUAAUGAUUUUAAGCAUAUUUUAUCACAGGCUUAACACCUUACAAAGGCUUUGUACUUUUUAAAACAUUUUUAACAUAGGCCACCCCUGUUGUCAAAUCAAAAUUGUAUUUGUCACAUGCGCUGAAUACAACAGGUGUAGACCUUACAAUGAAAUGCUUACUUACAAGCCCUUAACCAACAUUGCUUUAAGAAGUUAAGAAGAAAAACGUGUUAACAUAGAUAAAAGUAACAAACAGCAGCAGUAAAAUAACAAUAGCGAGGCUAUAUACAGGGGGAACCGGUACAGUAAAUGUGCGGCAAUUUUGUGAAACUCAUGAGAGACAAUACGGCCACAUUACCAUAACGCUGUUUAUAUAAUAGCCUCAGGGCACCGCUUGCAAGCCUCCCUUUUUCCUCCUAACAUAACGAUGGUCAUUAAUGCCAAAGAGUUCUAUUUCUGUUUCAUCAGACUAGAGGACAUUUCUCCAAAAAGUACGAUAUUUGUCCACAUGUGCAGUUGCAAAUCGUAGUUUUAAUAGCAGUUUUGGAGCAGUGGCUUCUUCCUUGCUGAGCGGCCUUUCAGGUGUCAUGACAUUGCCCUCUUUGGACACAGCGAGCACCAUCUCCCUCUGUCUCCUACACCCAGGCUGCUGUGUUCAGAGAGGUCGUAAAUUCCUGGAGGAGACUAUCUCCUCAUGGCCACAGUAUAGAGAGUGAGUUUUUAUAGAGAGAACAAAGGAAUUUCUUCCACCUCACAGAACUGGAGGUCCGAACAAUAUUUAUGUUCUGGAGAAUGUAUAAAAGAUUGGUGAAGAAUCCAGCUACGAACUGGUCCGUUUGGUACAAUUUUGUGAAACUCAUGAGAGACAAUACGGCCACAUUACCAUAACGCUGUUUAUAUAAUAGCCUCAGUUAUGAGGCUUACAUCUAAUUGUUGUAUAAAAUGAAUGAGUGAGGAUGGAACUGUUUGUGAAAUUGUGUAAUGUGAUUUUGGACUGUUUAAUGAAGGAAACUCCAAUUCCCUUUUGGAGUUUAACUAAUCAGAGGACCACCCAUGAGCACAGUUAUGGUCUGGUGUCAUGGGACUGGCCCUUUUCUGCUCUUCUAAAUAAAAUCCCCACCUAGGUUUUCUAUCACCAGACCAGCUUACCUCGAUAACGAGAGGGCUAAGGUUUGAGACGAGACCAGCUUACCUUGAUAAUGAGGGGCAAGGUUUGAGAGGAGGCCAAGCUUACCUCAAUUACGAGAUGGCUAAAGGUUGCAGACCAUGCAUUUCUCUUGCUGAACUUUUAACCAUACCAUGUGGUUAAACUCUUAGACUAUCGAUACCGACAGAAUAAGAACAAGUCUUUGAUAUUAAUUACUAGUCUGCAGCUAGGAAUUCGGUAUCAUUGAACGCGAAGACCGACAACCGCCAAAACAGCUAAUCUAUAACGUCAUGAAUGAAUGUUACUCUGAACUAUCCAUUCUAACCACAACAGAGAGAGAGACAGAGAGGACAGAGACAGAGAGGACAGACUCUCCAACAGAAACAAACUUUUCAACAGAGAUCCCGAUGACACACUGAACUCUAACAUCAGGUUUUAGUCACAAUAUAUGAAAGAAUAGUCUGGUGUGGUUAACAACUACAGACAAUGCUGUUAACACUUAGCUUGGUAGCAGGAUAAUGCAUGCACUCCAUUUCUCCUGCAGAGGGGGAACACAAUAGUGUUGAACCAGAUUGUUCUCUCUUCCAGGCAAAGCAUUAACAUUCAGUUAGCUGUGUGGCGUGAGAGACAGAGCAGACAUGACACCGACAGGGAAGAGAGCCCAUAACACUCCGGAUAAUACAUCUGUCGCUACGGAAACAGUCCUGUCCUGGUGCUGGAGUCGUGCUCUGCUGGGACUGCUGUAUCCUCAGGCUCUGGUUCCAUAGGGGACAAUAGGAAUACCAACACUGUUAUACACCAUUUUACCACACACAUUUUAUACACUGCAUUUUACUAUGAAUUUGAUCGUUUUGACAGGAAUCCCUCUUCGAUUAGGUAGACAAAAAUAAUAUACUCAAACAUUCUGCCACAAAAGAGUCUUCCUGUGCCACUGGUUCAUCUGGAAAGAGAAACCAGAAGCAACCUUUUACAGGGGUUGAUACUGUGUGCUCUACCAUGUUUUGUGAUUUGUUACAGAGACAAUUGAAUAACAAAUCCUGAAUUCCCAUCUGGGGAGGAGAAGGAGAGCAAUAGAGAAACUAAAACAAUAAAAACUAAACUAAGUGAUCUUGUCGAGGAGUUAGUUCUCCAUUCCACUUAUAUAGCAACAUCCUGGCAUUUAGCCAGAACAGAAAGUACUCUCCUAAUCUUCCCAGACCUCUGCAUUCCUCUCGGCAGAGAUUGUCAAAUGCAAGGUCGUGUUCACUAGGCACGAAAUGGAAAGAAGCAGUCUGAAAUGGGGAGGAACUAUCUGAAUAACUUCUUGAAGCAUUUUGCAACAGUGUGUCCUAAUGGACAUGACCCUGGGUGCUCAUGUUGUCUGAGUCUUCUGGCUUGAAACAGCUUGAGAAGCAGCAGUCCAAUGGCAAGAGAGCCUACUACCACAAAUACAGCAGUCACAUUCUUGUAACUGUUCUUUGGAAUUUCCUUUUGAUUUGCAGCAUUCUCAGGAACCUGGUGCUGGUCUCAUACUGUAACACACAAAAUCAGAAUCAUUAAAAAUGAAAAUCAUGUCACAUUCAGGUAUGCGAUCAGGGAUGCAAUGAAUUAAGUCAUGUUUGUAGGGUGAGUCAAUUUAUAUUGGAUACUAAUAGAUGAUAAUGUCAGAAAAGCAAGAUUUCUUGAUGGAUCAUCUGCACAGUGGAAAUCAUGAUGCAAAAAGGAGAAUACUAAACAGUCAGUGUUAGAGUGUGAGGAAGGCACUUUGAAUUCCAAACUAUGUGUUAAGCCCUUAGUUUUUCCUGACUGGGAAAUACUCAGGGCCCUACCUAUAAACAUUGGCCUCCAAAAGCUUUGAGCUCACCUGUGACCUUCAGCAUGAAGUUACAAUUUGUGUUUCCACUGUCAGUGUUCACCACACACUCAUACGGACCCUCUUCUUCAGGCUGGGUUUCUUUAACCAACAGGGACACAACUUUGUCUCUCAUUGGCAGGUGGCAUGGAAAGCUGAUAUUUUGGGCUCAGCAGCAUCCUGGGAUUGGAGGAUUGUAUAUAUAUAUGUGAACACAGGUUCACCUUUGUAAUGACCAUUCUGGUCCAGCCUCCACAACCUGCUUUAUGUUUACAUUACCAGGGGAUUCCUCACUGAACUUCACAGAGCAGUCUAGGACUGCAUCCUUCCCAGAUUCCACCUGGAUGACCUGCUUCAACUCUGAGCGCUGGUUUAGACCUGUUUAAGCAACAGAUAGAAAAACUAAAUGAAACAGGACUGUAGUACAGAAAAUGUUACAACUGACAGGUGUAGUUUGGAUAAAACAAAACUCCUAGACCAUUCGAUGUGAGCAUUUUGGAAGUUGUGGUGUUGGCAAAAGUAUUACAAAUUGUGCCUGCAGAAUGCCUUACUUUUGGAUGUCUCCAUCCCAGUGAUGAGGA
rnacentral:lncRNA from 1 species